rnacentral:rRNA from 1 species
AUGGCGACGAUCUGGUGGCCGGACCUCCCGCCCGAGCUGUUGGGCGCCGUGCUCUCGCGCUUGCCGUCCUACCUCGAGCACGUCCGCCUCCGGGCCGUGUGCGGCUCCUGGCGCUCCAGCGCGCGGACGCAGCAGCCGCCGCCGCUGCUCCCGUGGGCCGGACUCCGCAGCGGCGCCUUCCUCGACCUGGCCGAGGGUGCGCUUGACCGUCUGCCCGUCCCAGAAGCCGACGUCGUCCGCGUCUCCACAGGCCGUCUGCUGUUCCUGGUGCGCCGCGACGGCCGGUGCUUCCUGAUGCACCCUCACUCCGGCGACGCCACCCCUCAGCACAUCGAGCCCGAGUACCUCUGUGCCAGCCUCCAGUUCAGCGACUUCUUACUGGUGCACCCCCGCUCCUCCGGGGACACGACUGCCCCUCGACAGAUCACCCAUCUUGUCGCCGAUAGCAUCCGCAAGGUCGUCGUGGCCGAUGACCUCGUCGCCGUUCUCAUCAGGCGUUUGCACACGAGCAAUAACGUCGGCAUCUAUACUCGUGGCGGAACAAUGCGCAUGGCGUGGGCGCCUCCUCCUGAGUUCCCCGGACGCGCCGUCGACAUGGCGCUCUUCAAAGGGAAGCUCUACGUGCUCGCGUCAGAAGUGCAGCGCCGGAGCUACGAGCUCCACGCCCUGGACAUGGCCACCGGAGAAUCCGUCCAAUGCAUACCUAGCAGCACGCCGCCAACAAGAGUCGAUGAGGGCUACAACCGUGUACGCGAGGUCCGCUUCUACCUGGUCCCCUCCGGCGACCGCCUACUCAUGGUCGAACACACAAUUGACCACAUGACGUAUCAACAGACGUAUUUGCCGUCUCAGUUUGAGGUCUUCGAGGCGGCCGACCUGGAGCUGGGCGACGGCCAUGGACGGUGGAGGGAGGUUGAUACGCUCAUGGGACGCGCCCUCUUCGUCAGCCAGGGAUGCUCCGAGUCACUCCCGGCCAGCGGCAUCGGGGCUAGAGAAGAUUGCAUCUACUUUAUGAGCGAGCGUCAAAGGCUCGGCCCAAAGGCCAGGGACGCUACCAUGACGGAGCUCGAAUCGGGGGUGUACAACAUGAGAGAAGGGAUGAUAAUAACGCCAUUGCCACCGUUGGAGACGGCGACGGAAGCGUCGGUGGACGGUCCAUGGUCUCCCACUUGGCUUUUCCCACCGGCGAUUUGA